AGUUCCAUGGUGUAAUGGUUAUCACAUCAGAUUUUGACUCUGAUAAUCUGAGUUCGAUUCUCAGUGGGACCU
rnacentral:tRNA from 1 species